CCGCCACCGCCACCGUGUGUAGAAAACCCACCCCCACCGGCGGCAGAACCUUACAAACCACCACCGCCAGUCAUCCAUCCAUCUCCGCCGCCUCCCAUAUUUUAUCCAUCACCACCACCGCCAGCAAUUAAGUAUGCAAGUCCGCCACCCCCACCGCCUGAAUACAUGGGGCCAUUGCCACCAGUGACAGGAAUCCCAUACUCUUCACCUCCACCUCCGCCUUUCUCUUUGUUCUGUUCAAUAUGCAUUGUUCUAAAUUCGAAUUGUUAUCAUCAAUCGAGUCCAUAAAUAUAAUAUUUCAGAUAGAUCAGAGAGUUACUUUUAGAGAAUUGCAGGGGAAUGUUUUGUCUGUAUAGAAGUGAAGGGCCUAUUUUUAUUAUUUUUGUUUCCAUGUCAUAUCUUCUUCUCCUCUAGAUUUGUUUUCAAGGUUCUUUUUGUUAAGCAAUUUAUGAUUAUUUUAUAAUACAUACAAAAUUUUACUCGUAUUUUCAUUAUUCCCAGUAUUCAGAUCUCUGUUCGAAUAUUGAGUUCUUAACUACCAACUCCUUGAUGAUUCUGCGACACGCUCCUAAUAACCUUUUGGCCAAGGAACACGUCUUCAUCUUUUUUCCUGAGGAAUCAACCAAGAAAUCAAAAUGAUCCGAAUUUGCAAUUCAAAAGGUUGUAAAGCAAGCAGUAUUAAUGUGUCGAAAAGGUAAACUGACAGUCAUGAGCAAGCAAGAAAGGCCACAGCUUUAGCAAAUCCUCAA
rnacentral:lncRNA from 1 species